AUGUUCGAGCCUGCUGCGGAGCCCGUGGAAGAACCCAAGGCCGCAUGCGUCGGUUUCAGACAAGAUUUCUGGUACCAUGUCGGCUUUUGGGCUCGCCGGAGGGACGCCGCCACCAACGAGGAGCAACAGUACUUCUUUGCCGAACUACGCUUUGAGCGCCGCACCAGACGUCUAGUCGUCGAAACAUGCGCUCUCUUGGAAAAGCCGCUCUGUCGUUUAAAAAGCAGUUGUGCGUUUUGCCCGGAUAAUUUUCAGAUUUUCCACCCAAGCUGCAGCGAGUUUACAUGUGGAAAGAAGAGGCACAAAAGGAAAUUCUUCAGGGAGAGAGAGAUGCUUGGCAGGGCUUUCAUGCUUAGACACGCUCAACAAUACAAAACCUUUAGGUAG
rnacentral:rRNA from 1 species